rnacentral:rRNA from 2 species
UGGGGAAUAUUGGACAAUGGAGGAAACUCUGAUCCAGCAAUUCUGUGUGUGUGAAGAAGGUUUUAGGACUGUAAAACACUUUUAGUAGGGAAGAAAAAAAUGACGGUACCUACAGAAGAAGCAACGGCUAAAUACGUGCCAGCAGCCGCGGUAAUACGUAUGUUGCGAGCGUUAUCCGGAAUUAUUGGGCUUAAAGGGCAUCUAGGCGGUUAAACAAGUUGAAGGUGAAAACCUGUGGCUCAACCAUAGGCUUGCCUACAAAACUGUAUAACUAGAGUACUGGAAAGGUGGGUGGAACUACACGAGUAGAGGUGAAAUUCGUAGAUAUGUGUAGGAAUGCCGAUGAUGAAGAUAACUCACUGGACAGCAACUGACGCUGAAGUGCGAAAGCUAGGGGAGCAAACAGG